rnacentral:rRNA from 1 species
GUUAAGAGUGAUGUGGACCCUGAACAUGCCUGAUCCCAUCUGAUCUCGGAAGCUAAGCAGGCUUGGGCCUAGUUAGUACUUGGAUGGCAGACCACCUAGGAAGAUCAGGUGCUAUAGGCG